AUGAACGCUAGCGGCAGGCUUAAUACAUGCAAGUCGAGGGGCAGCAUGAAGUAGCAAUACUUUGAUGGCGACCGGCAAACGGGUGCGGAACACGUACACAACCUUCCUUUAAGUGGGGAAUAGCCCAGAGAAAUUUGGAUUAAUACCCCGUAACAUUGCGAUGUGGCAUCACAUUGCAAUUAUAGCUUCGGCGCUUAACGAUGGGUGUGCGUAUGAUUAGAUAGUUGGCGAGGUAACGGCUCACCAAGUCUACGAUCAUUAGCUGAUGUGAGAGCAUGAUCAGCCACACGGGCACUGAGACACGGGCCCGACUCCUACGGGAGGCAGCAGUAAGGAAUAUUGGUCAAUGGACGCAAGUCUGAACCAGCCAUGCCGCGUGAAGGAUUAAGGUCCUCUGGAUUGUAAACUUCUUUUAUAUGGGACGAAAAAAGGUCUUUCUAGACCCCUUGACGGUACCAUAUGAAUAAGCACCGGCUAACUCCGUGCCAGCAGCCGCGGUAAUACGGAGGGUGCAAGCGUUAUCCGGAUUCACUGGGUUUAAAGGGUGCGUAGGCGGGUAGGUAAGUCAGUGGUGAAAUCCUGGAGCUUAACUCCAGAACUGCCAUUGAUACUAUCUAUCUUGAAUAUUGUGGAGGUAAGCGGAAUAUGUCAUGUAGCGGUGAAAUGCUUAGAUAUGACAUAGAACACCCAUUGCGAAGGCAGCUUACUACGCAUAUAUUGACGCUGAGGCACGAAAGCGUGGGGAUCAAACAGGAUUAGAUACCCUGGUAGUCCACGCCCUAAACGAUGGAUACUCGACAUACGCGAUACACUGUGUGUGUCUGAGCGAAAGCAUUAAGUAUCCCACCUGGGAAGUACGUUCGCAAGAAUGAAACUCAAAGGAAUUG
rnacentral:rRNA from 1 species